rnacentral:rRNA from 1 species
AUACGGAGGGAGCGAGCGUUAAUCGGAAUUACUGGGCGUAAAGCGCGCGUAGGCGGCUUUGUAAGUCGGAUGUGAAAGCCCUGGGCUCAACCUGGGAAUUGCAUUCGAAACUGCAGAGCUAGAGUAUGGUAGAGGCAAGUGGAAUUCCGGGUGUAGCGGUGAAAUGCGUAGAUAUCCGGAGGAACAUCAGUGGCGAAGGCGACUUGCUGGACUAAUACUGACGCUAAGGAGCGAAAGCGUGGGGAGCAAACGGGAUUAGAAACCCCAGUAGUCC